rnacentral:SRP_RNA from 1 species
GACCGGGUCCUGUGCGACCGAAGGACGUGAACCUUGUCAGAUGGGGAACCAAGCAGCAAUAAGCGAGACCGCGGUGUGUUGCAGAAAAACCCGGUUGGA